CUGUUUGUAAGAGUCGAAGUCUUUACAGCUAAGUAUUUCUUCGAACAUCUGUUUGCAAGCAUACGUUCGCCUUCACUGGUUGGCUAUGUAAGCAAGCGCUUUACCUUGAGAAAAUUAGAGUGUUCCAGGCAGGCUUCAGCCGGAAUACAUUAGCAUGGAAUAAUGGAAUAGGACUGGGGACUAUUUAUUGGUUGAGGCUCCAGUAAUGAUUAAUAGGAACAGUCGGGGGCAUUGGUACUUAACAGUCAGAGGUGAAAUUCUUGGAUUUGUUAAAGACUAACUAAUGCGAAAGCAUUUGCCAAGCAUGUUUUCAUUAAUCAAGAACGAAAGUUAGGGGAUCGAAGACGAUUAGAUACCGUCGUAGUCUUAACUAUAAACUAUGCCGACCAGGGAUAUGAGUUGUUAGGAUUACACGAAAGUGUAAUCAAUUUCUUCUUAUGGACCUUGUGAGAAAUCAUAAGUUUUUGGGUUCUGGGGG
rnacentral:rRNA from 1 species